GCGUGGCUGCAUUCAGCUAUUUAUGUUAACAAACAAAUGAUUAGCAAACCCGUUAAAAAUUGUGUGCCCAGAAACCAUAGGAGGCAGGUAUAUAUGUGAGUCAUUGCUAAACCAACUUACCGUAUAUACUCGAGUAUAAGUCAACCCGAAUAUAAGUCGAGACCCCUAAUUUUACCCCCAAAAACUGGGAAAACGUAUUGACUCGAUGAUAAGACUAGGGUGGAAAAUGCU